rnacentral:ncRNA from 3 species
AACCCGUAGAUCCGAACUUGUGCU